rnacentral:rRNA from 1 species
CCUACGGGUGGCAGCAGUGAGGAAUAUUGGUCAAUGGCCGCAGGGCUGAACCAGCCAAGUCGCGUGAGGGAUGACGGUCCUAUGGAUUGUAAACCUCUUUUGUCAGGGAGCAAAGGGCGCCACGUGUGGCGCUUUGCGAGUACCUGAAGAAAAAGCAUAGGCUAACUCCGUGCCAGCAGCCGCGGUGAUAAGGAGGAUGCGAGCGUUAUCCGGAUUUAUUAGGUGUAAAGGGUGCGCAGGCGGAAUGUCAAGUCAGCGGUAAAAUUUCGGGGCUCAACCCCGUCGUGCCGUUGAAACUGGCGUUGUGGAGUGAGCGAGAAGUAUGCGGAAUGCGUGGUGUAGCGGUGAAAUGCAUAGAUAUCACGCAGAACUCCGAUUGCGAAGGCAGCAUACCGGCGCUCAACUGACGCUCAUGCACGAAAGCGUGGGUAUCGAACAGGAUUAGAUACCCUAGUAGUC